GACGAACGCUGGCGGCGCGCUUAACACAUGCAAGUCGAACGGAAAGGCCUGCUUUCCCUUGUGGAUUGCGGGUACUCGAGUGGCGAACGGGUGAGUAACACGUGAGUGAUCUGCCCCCAACUUGGGUAUAAGCCUGGGAAACUGGGUCUAAUUCCCGAUAGGACUGCAGGGUGGUGCCUGUGGUGGAAAACGAUUUUCUAGUGGUUGGGGAUGAGCUCGCGGCCUAUCAGCUUGUUGGUGGGGUAAUGGCCUACCAAGGCGGCGACGGGUAGCCGGCCUGAGAGGGUGGACGGCCACAUUGGGACUGAGAUACGGCCCAGACUCCUACGGGAGGCAGCAGUGGGGAAUAUUGCACAAUGGGCGGAAGCCUGAUGCAGCGACGCCGCGUGGGGGAUGACGGCCUUCGGGUUGUAAACUCCUUUCGACCGCGAGGAAGCCACCUGGUUGGAAGGGUGGUGACGGUAGUGGUAGAAGAGGCACCGGCUAACUACG
rnacentral:rRNA from 1 species